rnacentral:rRNA from 1 species
AGGGAUAACCGCUGAAAGCAUCUAAGCGGGAAGCCUGUUUCGAGAUGAGGUUUCUUUUGAGGUUCCCUAGAGAUUAUGGGGUUGAUAGGCCAGAUCUGGAAGCACUGUGAGGUGUGGAGGUGACUGGUACUAAUUUACCGAUAACAACAAACCAC